CUAGGAACUGUUGCUGACCCAUUCAUUAAUUUGCACAUGCAGAAACGUAAAACAAUCUCCAUACAACGAAACAGUGGGAUAGAAAGUUAGGAUAAUAUUUUUUUUACAAGCCACACCUACAACGUCACAGUACUUAUAUAUAUAGACCAGUUUAACAUCCCAAGGUCUGAUACAAAAAGUGAAGCUGUUCUAUUACCCACUAACUAAGCUUCUAUUUAUAAGACUGGGGUUCACUAAUACAUUAUCAUACUUCUCGAUCUCUCGAGGGUGAGCUGUCACCCUACAUCCAGUCUUGACGGAAAACUCGCCAUCACUUGGAAGGAGAUAGCGAGAGUCUUAUUCCUCCUUUACUACGACUGCCUGUACACGACCUGGCCUUCCUCCAUUUAGGAACCUGAAAAAUUUUAGCCCAUGACAGGGUGAGAUCACAUCUCAGCAAGUAAAUCCCCUAAAUCCAGAAUAGGAGAAGGGUACACUCAACAUGCAAUCUAAUCGUCUUUCUCACACUUUCUUAAUACCAGUACUUUCCUGCAUGUUAGUGCCAAUUAAAUCAUGCAUAAGAUACCGAGAUCAUAUAUCAUCAGAAUACUUUUAACACAUACAUAUGUAAUGACAUAAAUGUCACAUAAUUACACGGGCCCCCAAUUACCAGACUAAACCAUUAUGGCAUGUCCCAUACCGCACCACAUAGUUCCGUCUUUUAAUUAGGUCAUUCACUUUCACCCAUUCAUGUGUCACAAAUGAUUUCAAUGCUUAGAUAACAGUCUUCCGGCAUAACCGGGCAUUUCAUGUGUCACAAAUGAUUUCAAUGCUCGGAUAACAGUCUUCCGGUAUAACCGGGCAUCGCCUCGCACCAUCGAGCGCGGCAUCAUCUACAUCUAAACGGCAUUCCAUAUAGGAGCAUCGGUCCAGCCUCCACUGCGACCGGCAUCCGUUGACUUGGGGCAUUCCCGAAGGAGCAUCACCUGGCCCCAAAGGCUCGUGGCGGAAUCUUAUGCUGUGAAUGCAUAUGAUCAAUGUCACACUUCAAUAAUCAGUUACACAUAGCAUUCACAGUCUCAAUUAAGCAAUUUCAUAGCAAGAAUACUUCAAAACAAGCAUACUCUUUUACUAACCCGAAUUGACAGAAAACAGUCCAAUUACGCUCUUCCGAAUUCGAAGUCAGAAACCCACUCGUAUGAGCACGAAAAAUUCUCAAAUUUGGACACGUCCUAGACAACACCUAAACAAACAUUUUUCAUGAAAACACCAAGAUCCAGAUCCCUCUGGAUUCGGCCCAUCAAUUCGUUUUUUUUUUUGGGUCAAAAUCUGGUCCGUUUGAUUUGAAGUUCGAGUAUGAUAAACUAUAAGUUGUAACGAACAACUUUCAUGAAGAAACCAAUUGGAAAUUCGACCUCUAAAGGUCAGUAACAGCUCUCAGCAUCAUAAUAGGGCACGGGUUACAAAACUAUCCGAAUUAUUGUUCCGAGGAUGACGUCAUUAAAAUCGUCAUCUUUUUAAUUUCUAAAAAUUAUAAGAAAAAUAUAUGUUAAUAUUUAAGAUGUCCAAAAAUGUUUCUUCAGAAUAAAAUUCCUUCAAAAUCGCAACACACGGUUGUCUACGAAAUUAGCAAAACAUACACAUCCUGGAAACUGUUUCAGAAAUCAGCUACUGUUCUAGUCCGAAUCUUCCUUCACGAUGUUUGUCUUGCUCUCUAAACCCUAUCUAAGCUUUUCUAUGGCCAUCAUAACAUCCCUAACCAACAUCUAUCCAUAUAUAACGUCAUCUACAUCUUUCUAACUCGUAUGAAUUCCUAAUAGAGGUACUCAACCCCUAGUCCAGAUUUAGAAGACAACUCACCUAUUCACAGCUAACGGCGGCUCUCGUUGAUGGUUGGACAGCAACACAGAGACCAGCCUUGAUCCUCUCGAUGAUGGUGUUGAUUCGAAACCGCAGAAGAAUGUGCUGUGGAGUGAUGGCAACAGCAACACACGAAUUUAUAAAUUUUUCGGUAGAGGGAACUAAAUAUGGAUUUUGGUUGGUUGCGCGGUUCUUGUGCGGGUG
rnacentral:lncRNA from 1 species